rnacentral:lncRNA from 1 species
CCCAUAGACCCCUUAGUUCCCCAAGCCUUUAGACUAACAAGUCUGCUACGUGUAGAACAUUCUGACAGUAGAGUUUUAGAAAAUAAAAGAGAAUGUAAAAUGGUUACUGUGGUGACAAGGGAGUCUCAGGAAUUCAGAGGGAUCAAGAAUUUGAGGUGAGGUAACCAGGAGAACGUGAAACGUCUUGGGAUCCCUCGUAAAUUCUGGGAAGAGCAGUAAAUGUUCUAUGGUAUGUGGGAUGGAGGUUCGAACAAGCUUAAUUGGCCACUGAAGUAGCAGUGAUUCCAAAAUGUGAAGAUCCUGAGGCUGAGUUAAUAUAAGUAAAAACAUGCUAAUUGAUUUUUAAAAAUCAGAAGCCUAUAAAGAAGCAAAAAUUGCCAGUGUAGCAUUUCCAUCCAUUUGGUGUAAUACAUUCACACAUUAGAGACUAAACUCACGCACCACCCCCUCCAACGUUUCCCUCUGCAACUGUGUCUGAUGGUCCAGCUUUUAGAGUGAUGCGGUCCAUGGAGUCAGAAGCCCAGAGAUCCAUAAACCAUCCAGACAUCUAAUAGUGCUUUAAAAGGGGCCCUGAACACUGGAGGUCAUUAACUCUACUGAAUGGAAGGCUUCUCGUGUUAUGGACAAAUUGAAGCUUUGCCAGGAAGGGAGAGCUGCACACGAAAUCUUCCUGCCUGGGUCUGGAGUAACUGCCAUUUUCCACUUGUCAACGCUGGAUCUCAUCACAUCUGGUAGAUGGAGUGAAUUCUACCACGUUUUUCCUUCCUUUGUUUUGAGAAGAGAUUUAUUCUGAUAAAAUUCAUGCUCAUUAUAAAUAUUGAAAUAUACAAAGAAUAAAGUAAAAUACAACUGUUGGGGUGAACA